rnacentral:rRNA from 1 species
AUUUGAUUUGCAUCCGCUAGCCUCGUAGUCUUAUCCAUUUCUCUGGCGAUGGCUAUGGUGACGGCGACGGCGCCCGCGCCCGCGAGCUCCUCGAGCCGCCCCGCCGCCCGCAAGCCGCGCCGCCGCACGCAGCCCGCUACCCACCGCCGGAUCCCGCCUCCCGUCGUCCGCGUCGCGCCCGCAACUGCGUGUCGUCGCUGCCUGUGCUCUGCCUCGCCGCCUCCUCGACUCCUCGAGCCGAAGCUCGCUUCCGCCGGUGGCCAGCAGCAGCACCACCAGCAGCCCGCCCCACUCCUUUCUCACCUCUCCCUCCGGUUCCCCCUGCUCAACUCCCUCCCUGGUUUCUUCUCUACAGGAGCGCCAUGGCCGCUGAUCCCAUGCCCGAGGCCUCCUCAUCCCCGUCGUCGUCUGCUUCGUCUCCCGCUGCUGCGUGCCUGGACUCCACCGCUCGCACCUCCGCCCGUGCCCAACCUCUGCUCGCCUCCUCGCCCUUGCUGUCGUUGCUCUGUUUGUCGAGAACGAGCGAGCGGGAUGCCCGUUCCGCCUCCGUGUCCUUGUGAAACUCCUGCUCCCGUGUCCUUCUCAAACAAAGAAACAGUACCGACCCGGAUUUGUAGUUCGAUGCUAUAUAUUGACUUGUUCUCUGCCGGAAUCCAGAACCAGGCCAGCGCCACCAGCGAGCAUUGCACCGUCGCUUGGGGUAAGGAUUUGCCAGUCAUAACACCAUGCUCAGCAUCAUGUCGCCUUUGAGUGCGCCGGAGGAACAGGCACCGAGUUCGCCUUUGAGUACGCCGGACGAACCGACACCAUGUUCGCCGGAAUUCUUGGUCCAGAGAAGCACUGUGAGUCCAACGGUGGCUACAACAGAGAUCCCAAAGACUGAUAGAACUCAGGUGGAGGCCAAGGAGAUUCGGCUCUCGGACAUGCCACCAGUAACACUUGAUGAUAGCAACAUGCACACUAAAACAGAUGACAUCACCGAAAUGAACAUUCGAGAGGAUUUCGAUAACCGACCUUCAAAAAAAGCAAAAAUUUCUGAAUCAGGUGUUUUGGAGACAUCACCAAUGUCACCAACUAUGUCAACAUCUAAUCCAGUUUCUGAAUGUUUUGAAUCAAUUGUGCCUGAAUUAGAUAAUCAGAUAGAUCAUGAAUCGUUGGUGAGCGUUUUGAAGGAGGAAGCAAUUAGGGUUUUCUUCGUACCGAAGCACGAGGUGUUGUGCUUGCAGAUGCACGUCAAUUCAUCCUUCCCGUUGCAACGCACGGGCAUAUGUCCUGGUAAAACAAAUAUCCAGUUGGUCGAGCACACGAUUGUGGGUGUCCAUUAUUAAUACAUUGAUCACAAUGACUUUCAAAUGUCAAAUCUAACGACUGCCGUGCAGAUACUGUGCAAAAAAGCUGAAGCAUG